UUUGUGGCUGCUCAACAACCCUAGAGGGCAGAAAUGGGACCUGGUCAUGUGGCCACUGAAGUGGAGCAAAGGGCACUGGCAUGGAGUGACAGCGGGCAGCGCCUGCCAGCCUCUCUCACAGGGCCAGGGCUCCUCCAGGGCAGGGGGCCCAGGCUACUCUUAAAAUGGAGGGGAGAGGAUGAGGAUUUUCCCAGAGGUCCCUGGCCUUGCCCUGAAGCCCCUUAGGGGCCUGGUACACCAAAUGUCACCCUUGGGCCGGUUCUUGGUCCUAAGAAGAGAGAUUGGGGAUGAGUGGUGUUGGCCUCUGGGCUGCCCACCCCUUGCAGGCCAGACAGAAUAUAUAAGGGAGACCUGAAAGCAGUGGUGCAGUGACAGAGAGGCACCAACAGACGGGAGAGGCACUGCCCCAACCCCUCCCCGGGCCUGCAGGGAGGCUGGGGUCUUUGGGCCUGCUGACCUCUACAGUAAUCAAGGCCCCCAGGAGUCCCUUGGUGAGAUUCGGAGCUCCCAAGCCCAGCCCAAGAUCACAGGCCCCUGAGGGCAGCUGCUGUGACUUCGCAUGGCUUUAGGCUCAGAGUACAUGUGGGUACGUGCUCCUGAGUCUACAAGGAAAUCACAGCCAUAUCAUACUGCAAGUCCAGAAGAACCAACAGAAGAUUUCCGCACGGGUGCCACCAAAGUCAAUGAGGAUUAGCUAUUUUACAUGCCCAGUGACAAGGGACACCCUUGUUUAUUCUUCAUGUGACUGGCCUUUGGCUAAUUUCAUCCAGUUACUUGAGCUCUUGCGUGAAGCCUGCUGAGCCUUUCCCUCUGUUCCUGCUGCAGUGCGCAAUACACUUUUGGUCUUUGCCCCUCCAAAGCUCUGCGGGAAGGCACUGUGCCAUCCCUGUGUGUAUCUGAGUAUUUUCCAACAUCCAAAACAGUCUAUCUUGCAGCUUGGGUUGUAUAGUUUAUUUGAAAACUUGCUUCUUGUUUCUGUUUCCCAAAAAGUUACCCCCAAAUAAAUACUGCCUAACAGCCA